UGGUGGAGCGGGGGGUUUAUGAAAAUCAAAGGAGCUCGGUUUGUGCCAUGCGGACCUACACACACACACACAAACACACAGUCGCUCACACACACCAUGCUGGCCAGCAGACGAUUCCCAGUAAAGACACGGAUCUGAGAUACAGAGACAGAGAUCAGGAUGGGUGUUACAGGAGAAAUGAAGGAGGACGAGGCUGAAUAAGACAGCGCUGAGAGAUAAAGAGAGGGUGGGUGAGCGGAAGGGAGGAGAGGAGACAGCACCAGCCUCAGCAGGUUUGCGAGGGAGAAGGAGAGAGUGAGAACUAGAAGAUAAAGUGCUUGUGAUGUUGCGUGGGGAUGAUGCCGAAUAUCAGCGCCGCUAUCACACUCUGGGCAGCAACACGCGCCGCCUCUCCAACCCCGACAUGGAGGCCUAUGCUAAACUCCACAAGAGCGGCGACACAGAGCAUCAGAGAAACAAAUACCCUCCGCAGCACGCCGCCACGCUGGUCAACACCAACUGUGCACGGCAGCAGCAGCCACAUUACUGGAGUUUUAAGGCGCGGACUCCGCGCGGCGCUGCGGGGCUGCAGCAGCAGUCGCUGGGCGAGCAGGUAGGAGGGCGACUGUGUUAUGCGUCUGCGGAGAGUUUGGAAAGCAUGGCAGAUGCCGAGCUCCCGCUGGGCUUCAGUCGCUCCAACAUCCUCAGACAGAGUCUUCCACUGGCACGAUCGCCCAGCCAGGCUAAACUGAGAGCGCCAGCGGUGUUGUUCUUGCAGUUCGGUGACGAGACGCGGCGGGUGCACAUCACUCAUGAGCUGACCAGCAUGGAAACACUUCACGCUCUCAUCGUUCACAUGUUCCCUCAGAAACUGACGAUGGGUGCGUUGCGUUCCCAUGGCACGGCUCUGCUCAUCAAGGACGAGGCACGCAACAUCUUCUACGAGCUGGAGGACCCUCGUGACAUCCACGACCGGUGUCUCAUCAAGAUUUACUGCAGAGAGGCUCCGAUACGAGACACACACUACAAUGCUCAACACACGGCGCACACAGUGCACCACACACACAUUGCCAACGGAGACCUGCGGAGAGAGCUGGUGUACACCUCGAGGGAAUCGUCUCCCACGCAGCGUUUAAACACACUCCCGUCUUCCUCUUCUCCCUCUGGGUCCCCGUCACGCUCGCAAUCGCGUCUUUCUUACACGGGUGGGCGUCCUUCCUCUUACGCCGGACCACAUCCUUCACCUCAGCUCCACCCCUAUCAGCAACACCACGCCCACCCCGGAGGCCACGCCCCACAGCAGUCUGGCCACACCCACCCAACAUUUUGCCCCUCCCCAAGUGCCAUUCUUGAACGGCGUGAUGUGAAACCGGACGAGGAAAUUGCAUCGUCCUCGAAGAGCAUGGUGUUGCUAAAAAACGAAGCGAUAUACGCAGACCCUUAUUCGCUAGUCCAGGAUCCUCGGUUCAGCGUGGCUUCGCCGCAGGCUCUGGCGUACCGCCGCGGAUCUGUGCGUUCUGUUGGUGGCUACCCCGCUGCGGCAUUGCAAUGUGAGCUUGAGGGUGCCCUCUACAGGUCUGGCGGUCCUAUUUACGCAGAUCCAUAUGCUACGAUGGGUUUCCGCACCUUACCUCCAGCCUCGCCUCAAAAACUGUCUGAUGGCAGGGAUCCGUAUGGGAGCCACCCGGGACGAGGGUCCCCUGGGAGACAUGGGUUUCGUAAAGAUGGCACUGUGUACAUAGAGAGCCCCAAGAAUCGUCCAGGAGGGCCACCUCUGGAGCAGAUAUGCAUGCUUGGGGGCCCCGGAGGAGAUGGAGGGCCCAUGCCAGUGUACGGUUCAACAUUACCUGGUAACGAAGAGACCAGAGAGCGAAUGGAGGCAAUGGAGAAGCAGAUAGCCAGUCUAACCGGACUAGUUCAGAGUGUUUUGACCCGAGGACCAGACAGCCCUGAGAAAGCAGAAACAGCGAGUGACUGCUCUGCACCAGAGACUGGAAGGUUUAGAAAACAAAAAGUGUCAUCGCCGUCUGCUCCUCUGGCCCUGAUGCCUCCUCCGCCCACUGCAGCCUCUCAGCCAAUAGCAAUGUCCCGUUUCCAAAUGCAGCUGCACCUGACUGACCUGCAGCAGCACACAGCUGAGCUGCGCAAACAGCUCACACAACUGCGCCAGUUACAGUUACAGAAUCAGGACUCUGUUCAGGCUUUACUGAGGCAGACAGAGUCUGAUUUGGGGAUGUGUCUGAUCGAGGCGUCUCGCACACAAGAAGAUCCAUUACAGCGGCAGCGUCUUCUUGUUGAGGAGGAGAGGCUGCGCUACCUUAAUGAAGAAGAACUUAUUAUACAACAACUACAUGAUCUCGAGCGCUCAGUGGAGGAGAUGAGGAUGGGGGCGGGGCUUAACCACCACCUGGUGACCGAACAGGAAAUAGAACAGAAGAGUCUGGAGCUCAGGAGACUUGGAGAGACGGUCACUGACCUCAAGAAUCAGUUCCCCACUUUACAAAGUAAGAUGCGUGUUGUGUUGAGGGUGGAGGUGGAAGCCGUCAAGUUUCUGAAAGAGGAACCGCUCCGACUGGAGGCCCUGUUGAAGCGCUGCAGAAACAUCACCAAUACACUCACUUUACUUCGAAGGCAGGUAUCAGAAGGUGUGUGGAGGACACCCAAUGACUUCAGUAGUUCAGUUUCCAGCGCGAGUGACGCUGACUUCAGCAGGAGCUCUGAUCUAGAUAUUCUCAACAGCCCUUCUCUAAAUCUGCCCGACCUAGGGGGCACCUUAUCAGCCACUGCCACUCUUUCUGCCUCCCUGGGCACUAAUACCACAAAUCCUGGCCUGACGAGUGCUUCUAGUAUAGGAGGCACCACUAGUCUAUCUAACGUGCUCGGCUCCUCUGUUGGUGCCAGUAUGAGUAUCUGUGGUAUUCCUGGCAGCACCACGCUGGGUAACUGGCUGGCAGGAGCCGGGGCAACAGAUCCCAUCAUGCCUGAACUGGACGGCACCUCCACAGGUCCAAUAAAGACCAGUGGCUUGGAAGACUUGCCCGCACGCAGAGAAUCUGACAAAGGAGUGUCUGUGGAGGUCCGACUGGCUGCAGAGCGAGAUUGGGAGGAGAAGAGAGCCAGUUUGACUCAGUUCAGCGCUCAAGACAUCAAUCGUCUGCUGGAGGAAACUCAGGCUGAGCUGAUGAAGGCCAUUCCAGAUCUAGACUUCGCCGCCAAGCAGAUCACGAAACCGGCUGUACCGCCAAAACCCCAGCUGUCCUCCCUCCCAGCGCCUGGCUCAACAUCCUCCACUCCUAGCUUAACACCUGAACAUCAGCCCAGCAAAACCCCACCAAAACCACCCAGCAAAGACGGCAUCCCACGCAGGGGAUCAGGGGAGUUGACAGUGCCACGGUAUCGUACAGAGAAGCCGUCCAAGUCUCCACCCCCUCCUCCUCCGCGAAGAAGUUUCCCAUCAGGCCUUGGGCUCACUACCAACAGCAGUGGAGAAGUUAUCACCAUAAACAAGAGUGUGAAGAAAUUGGAGAAGAAGGAGAACAGAGAUGAGGCUGAAGUACCGACUCAAUCCCAGACGCCUCCAGUCAAACUAAGACGUCCAUCGACCUCCGAUGGGCCCCGACCGUCCUCCACACCUCCGGUCAUCGCUGCUUCUGGAAUGAAGGAAGAUGAGGAUGAAGAUGAGAAGAUAAUGGCAGAGCUGGAGGCAUUUCAGAGAGCCCCAGUGAGACUGAGGGUCAGUGCUGAGGCCCAAAGCCCGGCUGAGGCCACUCCUAACAGUGUUGACAGGACAGGCCAGUGGAUCAGCAACUCUCUGUGGAGAGAGCCUGUAGGCACUCCUCCGGGCUCCGCCAAACUGGUGCAGCCGUCUGCGGCGUCACGUCUGCGGCACCUGCAGCAGAGCAGCCUGGAGCGCAGGAGCAGGAAACAGCAGGAGGAAUUCCCAAAGCUCCAGCAGGGUCAGCAGCAGGUGAACGCUUCCAUGGCAGCGGUGACCCUAGAAACCAGAGGAAGCACAGGUGACCUCUGAGUCUAAAUCAUCUCCCAGCUAAAGCACAACGCUUCAGUACUGAAGAGCUCUGAUGAAGGACUUCAUUGAAGUAGAAUAGACCCAAACUCUGAUGCGACACACAUCCGAGCACCAUAUGCUGUGUUAAAACACUGAGAAACGUCCAAAAUACAUGUACAGAGAAACUGUGGAACUGUAUAUAAACUGUAUGAUCAUGGAUAUGUUCAUUUAGGGUAUUUUUUGUAAGCUUUUUUUUCUACCAAAAGCGUUUGAGAGAUCUGAACUGCAUGUAGAUAUCCUCUCAAAGUCUGCAUGCAGAAUCCUCUCUCUGUAAGUUCUGUUUACAAGUGUAAGAUAGAUGGAUUUCUGUAUUAAUAAAGAGAUUUUUUUUAAAUAAAUAUAGUUGUAUGUGAGUAGACGGGUCAAUCGGAUCCUAUUCACUGUUGUCUGAUCUGUAAUAAACCAUCUAUCUCCACACAGGCAUUCCGAAUUUAACGUCCAAAAAAGAAAAACAUUUUUCAUUAAUGCAACAUAUAGAAUGUAUAUAAAUCUAUCAAUGACUUCUUGUGAUAAAACAAUAACAGUGUGAAUGCAAUGUUGACCAAUAAAAAUAUAUCUAUAUGGAAAUGUUAUAAUGAAAAAGUUGUUUUAAUGUUGAAAAAACCCUCUUCUGGUUGUGUAUGUACAAGAGACUGUUGGUUUUGAAUGUUCUUGUGCUGUUUUUGUGACUAUUAAAGUGAAUAUCUUCUACUACA